AUGAACAGAGCAGUAAUCAAUCUAGAACUCAGGAAUUUUAGUAAGGAGAAGAAAGAUCAGCCCAAGGUUACACCUACAGUCACCCUGUUUUCACCAUUCUAUGAGGAGCUCAAGAACAAAAAGGUGACACUGCUGUGUCUGAUAACUGACUUUUACCCACCUGUUCUGACAGUGGCCUGGAAGGCAGAUGGUACCCAGGGUGUAGAGACCACUAAGCCUGUGAAACAGGGUAACAAGUAUUUGGCUAGCAGCUAUCUGCAAUUGACAGAAGAAGAAUUAAAAUCUAAAAGCAGUGUCAGCUGCCUGGUCACUCAUGAAGGGGACACUGUGGAGAAGAGCUUGUUCCUUCAGCCAAAGUCCACUCCCACAGUCACAGUGUUUCCACCAUCUUCUGAGGAGCUCAAGACAAACAAAGCCACAGUGGUGAGUAUGAUUCACAACUUCUACCUGGGUAGUGCAACAGUGACCUGGAAGGCAAAUGGUGUACCUAUCACCCAGGAUCAGCCCAAGGUUACACCUACAGUCACCCUGUUUUCACCAUUAUAUAAGGAGCUCAAGAACCAAAAGGUCACACUGGUGUGUCUAAUAACUGACUUUUACCCACCUGUUCUGACAGUGGCCUGGAAGGCAGAUGGCAUACCUAUCACCCAGGGUAUAGAGACUGCUGAUCCUAGGAAACAGGGUAACAAGUAUUUGGCUAUCAGCUACCUGCAAUUGUCAGAGGAAGAACUGAAAUCUAAAAGCAGUGUCAGCUGCCUGGUCACUCAUGAAGGAGACACUGUAGAGAAGAGCUUGUUCCAUGGGUUGAAUUUCUAG